GAUGAACGCUGGCGGCGUGCCUAAUACAUGCAAGUCGAGCGAACAGACGAGGAGCUUGCUCCUCUGACGUUAGCGGCGGACGGGUGAGUAACACGUGGAUAACCUACCUAUAAGACUGGGAUAACUUCGGGAAACCGGAGCUAAUACCGGAUAAUAUAUUGAACCGCAUGGUUCAAUAGUGAAAGACGGUUUUGCUGUCACUUAUAGAUGGAUCCGCGCCGCAUUAGCUAGUUGGUAAGGUAACGGCUUACCAAGGCAACGAUGCGUAGCCGACCUGAGAGGGGGAUCGGCCACACUGGAACUGAGACACGGUCCAGGCUCCUACGGGAGGCAGCAGUAGGGAAUCUUCCGCAAUGGGCGAAAGCCUGACGGAGCAACGCGGCGUGAGUGAUGAAGGUCUUCGGAUCGUAAAACUCUGUUAUUAGGGAAGAACAAAUGUGUAAGUAACUAUGCACGUCUUGACGGUACCUAAUCAGAAAGCCACGGCUAACUACGU
rnacentral:rRNA from 1 species